rnacentral:rRNA from 1 species
AUUGAACGCUGGCGGCAUGCCUUACACAUGCAAGUCGAACGGCAGCACGGGAGCAAUCCUGGUGGCGAGUGGCGAACGGGUGAGUAAUAUAUCGGAACGUGCCCAGUCGUGGGGAUAACGUAGCGAAAGCUACGCUAAUACCGCAUACGAUCUACGGAUGAAAGCGGGGGAUCGCAAGACCUCGCGCGAUUGGAGCGGCCGAUAUCAGAUUAGGUAGUUGGUGGGGUAAAGGCUCACCAAGCCAACGAUCUGUAGCUGGUCUGAGAGGACGACCAGCCACACUGGAACUGAGACACGGUCCAGACUCCUACCGGGAGGCAGCAGUGGGGAAUUUUGGACAAUGGACGCAAGUCUGAUCCAGCCAUUCCGCGUGCAGGAUGAAGGCCCUCGGGUUGUAACUGCUUUGUACGGAACGAAACGGUGAGCUCUAAUACAGUUUGCUAAUGACGGUACCGUAAGAAUAAGCACUGGCUAACUACGUGCCAG